AAUAAACUGGGAUUUUUUCUCUUGGUAAUUGGGUCAUUGAAGCUAUCAGAAUCAGCGGCAUUUUGUACGAUAGGGCUGAAAAGGUAUCAUACUAUCAUUUACUAUUAGUUUUGCCUUUGUUCUUUUUAUCUUCUCUAAAGGCAAAGCUAACAGUAAAUGAUAGUAUGAUACCCUAUAAUUUUGAUGGAGUAUUCUUUGUGGUCAAAAUUAUAGGGUAUCAUACUAUCAGUUACCGUUAGCUUUGCCUUUGUUCUUUUCCAUCUUCUCCAUAUUAUUUCUAUAUAACACAUUAUUCACUCAUGAAUGCCCAUUGGUCUGAAUUUAAAGUGAUCUAAUUUGUUAACCCAUUUGUUUAUUCUGACAUCUCUAUUUGGAAUUUUACAUUAUGACAAGAGAAACAUAAGAGCAUAGGCCUUUCUUCUUUCGAGUGUACAUCUAGGCGUCUUAAUCCAUUCUUGGUUAAAUAUGGAUAAUUAUAAAUUCGCAUCAAGCUGUUUCUCUAGUUUUUAUUUAGUGAAAAAUAAAUAUUUCCUAAAAUUUUCUCACUGUUUGGGGUGGGAAUUUCACCAUGCUACUUGUCACAAUAUUUACUCUUUCUUGAUUGAGACAAGACUGUACCUGAUUGGAAAUUGGGAUUUAAUGGUCUACGAUCCCCUUGAUUCUGCUGUUUAGUUUAGAGAGUAAGGCUCAAAAGUAUGUUCAGGCAUUAGUAUGGCCUAAAUAAGCUCUUAUUGCAACUUUGACAAUGGUUGUUUACUUGAGCAGCAGACUUGGGCCUAAAUAAUAAUGGCACCUGUUACAAAUAGUAAUGUGAGAGUAGAAUAUAUAAGUGGAUAAUGGAGAACCAAUAAUAUUAAUGUUCUAGGGUUGUUAUAGGCUAGAAAAUGUAAUUAGGGAAAUGUUUCUUGAAAAAUCUAGAUAUUUUUUUUUUGUUGGUUUUCCUCCUAAAAGAAUUGUGAAGUCUGCUGUUAAUAGAAAUUCAUUUCUCCCUCUAUAUUUAUUACCACUUAUGCUUGCAUACCUUUGCAUUUAUUUGCACCCAUGCUUACACGGCCUUGUAUGUACCUUUACAUUUAUAUUUCAUGCAUGCUUAGUUAUUUUUGUAAAAAUUUAUGAACAUGUAUUAAUUGUUAGCCUUGCCUAUUGGCUUUAAACAAUAUUAACCUUUACCACAAGUUUUCACCGAUCAAAUUAACAUUGUUAAUAUUUAAUAUCUGCAUGCUUUGUCCAUGCAUUUAAUUCAAAGAUGGCGCAUGCAUUUCACAAGUAUUUAUUCUAAUGCAUGCUUUUUAUUGAAUAUUAUGUGCGUUUUGUCUAAGCGUUAAAUUUGCUUAUGCAUGCUUGCUCUAUGCACUCAAUUGUGAUGCAUCCUCUUGCUAAUUCAAAGAUGACUUUAAACAUGUUUAACCUUUGCCACAACCUUCCACAGGUCAAUUCAACAUUGUUAAUGUUUAAUGUCAUACAUACUUUGUCCAUGCAUUUAAUUCAAAGAUGGCGCAUACAUUACAU
rnacentral:lncRNA from 1 species